UAGCGCUGCCAUAAGCAUCGCAAACCACUCGAGUACCUUCAUUCCCCGCGUAGAACUGUUCAAGAAAAGCACAUGUCAAACCAACAGCGCGGAGGAGCCGGCUUCCCGUGUCAGAGUUGUGUGUAAUUGCGGGCUACUUCACCAUCAUCAGCCCAUUGGCAGUAUUGUAGGGAUGGACAUAUGGAUUGAGUGGUACCCUCCUGAAAGAUACACAUCUCAGCAGCCAAGAACUUCAAUAAAAAUGGAAGAGGUAUGAAAUUCUCAACUUAGGAAGGAACAUCCAACCUGUAAUGUGUCGAUCACUAACUAAUAAACAUGAAUAUGAUGUUGGAAAGAAGCAAUUGGAUAUCAAAGCAAAAGGAUCACGGCUCCUCUUACAAAUCAGUGAAGUAUUCUAAUUCUGGCGAUCUAAGCGUCGGUCCAGGCGGCGCUCCCUCGGCUACGCCUGGGUGUUCGAGCUGUCAGUGUGGUACAGGAGCAUCAGCCACCACCGCUGCCAAGGAGCUCCAGCAACCACAUGAUCACUCUUGCUUCACAGACUAUGUAUGGUCAGUUCAGAAAAUUGGAGGUUUUAGGAUCUUUGGAAGUUCUUUGAGGCAUCACCCUUCUUCUCCGCAGUUGAAAGGUGUGUGUGAGUCAGAGAAAAACACUUUUGCUUUAUUUAUGUUCCAACUUUGGCAAG